rnacentral:rRNA from 1 species
ACUCCGUACGGGAGGCAGCAGGUGGGGAAUUAUUGCAACAAUGGGCGCAAGCCUGAUGCAGCCAUGCCGCGUGUAUGAAAGAAGGCCUUCGGGUUGUAAAGUACUUUCAGCAGUGAGGAAGGUGGAGUCGUUAAUAGCGGCCUCAUUUGACGUUAGCUGCAGAAGAAGCACCGGCUAACUCCGUGCCAGCAGCCGCGGUAAUACGGAGGGUGCGAGCGUUAAUCGGAAUUACUGGGCGUAAAGCGCAUGCAGGUGGUUUGUUAAGUCAGAUGUGAAAGCCCGGGGCUCAACCUCGGAAUUGCAUUUGAAACUGGCAGACUAGAGUACUGUAGAGGGGGGUAGAAUUUCAGGUGUAGCGGUGAAAUGCGUAGAGAUCUGAAGGAUACGGUGGCGAAGGCGGCCCCCUGGACAGAUACUGACACUCAGAUGCGAAAGCGUGGGGAGCAAACAGGAUUAGAUACCCUGGUAGGAUAGCG